rnacentral:rRNA from 1 species
UACGGGGGGGGCAAGCGUUGUUCGGAAUUACUGGGCGUAAAGGGCUCGUAGGUGGCCAACUAAGUCAGACGUGAAAUCCCUCGGCUUAACCGGGGAACUGCGUCUGAUACUGGAUGGCUUGAGGUUGGGAGAGGGAUGCGGAAUUCCAGGUGUAGCGGUGAAAUGCGUAGAUAUCUGGAGGAACACCGGUGGCGAAGGCGGCAUCCUGGACCGGCAUUGACGCUGAGGCGCGAAAGCUAGGGGAGCAAACGGG